rnacentral:rRNA from 1 species
AGUGAACGCUGGCGGCAGGCCUAACACAUGCAAGUCGAACGGCAGCACAGUAAGAGCUUGCUCUUACGGGUGUCGAGUGUCGGACGGUUGAGGUAUACAUCGGAAUCUACUUUGUCGUGGGUGAUAACGUAGGGAAACUUACGCUAAUACCGCAUACGACCUACGGGUGAAAGCAGGGGAUCUUCGGACCUUUCGCGAUUGAAUGAGCCGAUGUCGGAUUAGCUAGUUGGCGGGGUAAAGGCCCACCAAGGCGACGAUCCGUAGCUGGUCUGAGAGGAUGAUCAGACACACUGGAACUGAGACACGGUCCAGACUCCUACGGGAGGCAGCAGUGGGGAAUAUUGGACAAUGGGCGAAAGCCUGAUCCAGCCAUACCGCGUGGGUGAAGAAGGCCUUCGGGUUGUAAAGCCCUUUUGUUGGGAAAGAAAAGCAGCAGGUUAAUACCCCGCUGUUCUGACGGUACCCAAAGAAUAAGCACCGGCUAACUUCGUG